CUUGGCGACUAUAGAGAACGAAGGGAAAUGGAGAUAGUCGUCUCUUUAACGGAUAGUGAUUCCGUAUGUUAGGAUUUCCUUUGAAAUUUCCUCAAAAGGCAACAUUGUCGGUCCGCCGUUGUCUUCAAUUUUUCUGAACAUCAGGGUCUUUUCCAGUGACUCUUGUUUGUGCAUUAUGUGUCUAAAAUAGUUAAUCUUUAGCUACAUUAUUCUUCCAGUGAGCAAUAAUUAAACUGACUAUUUUCAUGAAGAUGCUGAGCAAUUCUACACAUUUUUACUCAGGUGUACGUUCAGCUGAACUCAUGGAAACUUUCUCCUUAAUACUUUCUUGACAGUUCCAUUCUUGUUAAGAAGCUUCAGAACACGCUCUUUGUGAUCCAAGACCUUUAGCAUGGAUUCUCGAGCCU